rnacentral:rRNA from 1 species
GAGUUUGAUCCUGGCUCAGGAUGAACGCUGGCGGCGUGCUUAACACAUGCAAGUCGAGCGAAAAUAAUUGAGAGCUUGCUUUUGAUUAUUUUAGCGGCGGACGGGUGAGUAACGUGUGGGUAACCUGCCUUUUACUGUGGAAUAAUCGUUGGAAACGACGACUAAUACCGCAUACGGUUCUUGGAAGGCAUCUUCUAAGAAAGAAAGGAUUUAUUCGGUAAAAGAUGGGCCCGCAUCUGAUUAGCUAGUUGGUGAGAUAACAGCCCACCAAGGCAACGAUCAGUAGCCGACCUGAGAGGGUGACCGGCCACAUUGGGACUGAGACACGGCCCAAACUCCUACGGGAGGCAGCAGUGGGGAAUAUUGCACAAUGGGCGAAAGCCUGAUGCAGCAACGCCGCGUGAAGGAAGACGGUUUUCGGAUUGUAAACUUCUAUCAAUAGGGAAGAAAGAAAUGACGGUACCUAAAUAAGAAGCCCCGGCUAACUACGUGCCAGCAGCCGCGGUAAUACGUAGGGGGCAAGCGUUAUCCGGAAUUACUGGGUGUAAAGGGAGAGUAGGCGGCAAGGUAAGCGAUAUGUGAAAGCCUUAAGCUUAACUUAAGGAUUGCAUAACGAACUAUCUAGCUAGAGUACAGGAGAGGAAAGCGGAAUUCCUAGUGUAGCGGUGAAAUGCGUAGAUAUUAGGAAGAACACCAGUGGCGAAGGCGGCUUUCUGGACU